rnacentral:rRNA from 1 species
UACGUAGGGUGCAAGCGUUGUCCGGAAUUAUUGGGCGUAAAGAGCUCGUAGGCGGUCUGUCGCGUCGGCUGUGAAAACCCGGAGCUCAACUCCGGGCCUGCAGUCGAUACGGGCAGACUGGAGUUCGGCAGGGGAGACUGGAAUUCCUGGUGUAGCGGUGAAAUGCGCAGAUAUCAGGAGGAACACCCGUGGCGAAGGCGGCCUGCUGGGCCGUUCCUGACGCUGAGGCGCGAAAGCUAGGGGAGCGAACGGA